CCCCUACGGGGCGCAGCAGUGGGGGAUAUUGCACAAUGGGGGGAACCCUGAUGCAGCGACGCCGCGUGGGCGAUGGAGUGCUUCGGCAUGUAAAGCCCUAUCAGCAGGGAAGAGAAUGACGGUACCUGACUAAGAAGCCCCGGCUAAAUACGUGCCAGCAGCCGCGGUAAUACAUAGGGAGCAAGCGUUAUCCGGAUUUAUUGGGUGUAAAGGGUGCGUAGACGGGAAAUUAAGUUAGUUGUGAAAUCCCUCGGCUUAACUGAGGAACUGCAACUAAAACUGAUUUUCUUGAGUACUGGAGAGGA
rnacentral:rRNA from 1 species